rnacentral:sRNA from 1 species
GUCUCGAUAUGCCGUACUGUUGAACCAAAUGUUCGACGGCGAGAUCGGCUGCUUCUCGAGUCUUGAAAGUGGCUCGUAUGGUAGUGCUGCUGUCGUCGGCCAU